AUGCUUCCUUACUCGACGGCUGCCGAGGCGGAGGCCGCGCUGGGGCGGGCCAUGUCCUACGCGGAGGGCGCGUGGUUUCGGUACUCGGCAGGGAUGCCGGACUACUACCUGUACUGCCACAUCGUCCCCAUGCUCCUCCUCGUCUACACGCUGUCGUCGGUCCCCCUCGCACUUUUCGAGCUCGGCGCGCCGUCCAUCGCUCUGCGAUACAAGCUGCAGCCCCGGGUGAAACUCUCGCCGUCCGCCUUCCUCCGGUGCUACAUGGACACCAUGGGCCUCUUGCUCGUCACCAUUGCUCCGCUCCAUCUCGUCUCCUAUCCUGCCAUGGCGGGCAUCAGGACGGGGCUUCCGUUGCCGUCCGUGGGGGAGACAGUGGCGCAGCUGGUGGUGUACUUGCUUGUGGAUGACUAUCUCGGCUACUGGAUCCACCGUCUACUGCACGCCAAGUGGGGAUACGACAACAUCCACCGCGUCCACCAUGAGUACACGGCGCCAAUCGCCUUCGCCGCGCCCUACGGGCACUGGUCCGAUGUGCUCAUCCUUGGAGCACCCUCCCUUGUCGGCCCGUCCAUUGUGCCAUGUCACAUGACAACCCUCUGGCUCUGGUUGGUAAUACGCCAGAUAGAGGCCAUCGACACCCACAGUGGGUUUAAGUUCCCGUUCAAUCCGACAAACUAUAUCCCGUUCUAUGGAGGAGCAGAAUACCACGACUACCAUCACUUUGUUGGGGAGCACAGUCAGAGCAACUUCUCAUCCCUUUUCACCUUCUGUGAUUAUUUGCAUGGAACGGAUAAAGGAUACAGGUACCAUAUGGCAAACUUAGUGAAGAGUACUAAGAAGAUGAAGGGGGCGGCUACGACUACUAUGGCGACCCCAAGGAGUGAGGCCAAAUGA
rnacentral:rRNA from 1 species